AUUGAACGCUGGCGGCAGGCCUAACACAUGCAAGUCGAACGAGUGGCGGACGGGUGAGUAAUGUCUGGGAAACUGCCUGAUGGAGGGGGAUAACUAAUGGAAACGGUAGCUAAUACCGCAUACCAUCGGAUGUGCCCAGAUGGGAUUUGCUAGUAGGUGGGGUAAUGGCUCACCUAGGAGACGAUCCCUAGCUGGUCUGAGAGGAUGACCAGCCACACUGGAACUGAUACACGGUCCAGACUCCUACGGGAGGCAGCAGUGGGGAAUAUUGCACAAUGGGAGCAAGCCUGAUACAGCCAUGCCGCGUGUAUGAAGAAGGCCUUCGGGUUGUAAAGUACGUUCAUCGGGGAGGCGUUACCCGCAGAAGAAGCACCGGCUAACUCCGUGCCAGCAGCCUCGGUAAUUC
rnacentral:rRNA from 1 species